rnacentral:lncRNA from 1 species
UGGAGACCGAACUCCUAAGGUGAGAGGUGUAGCCAAGAGUAACCGGACAAGGCCGCGGAUGAUGGCCGUGUGAGUCUGGCCGGUUUGGAUCGAUUGGCUACUCCUUACUCUGACUUCUUCUACUCUGUUUCUUCUUAUAUGUUGUGCUAUGGAAUGUUUUAUGUUGUUACAGGAAAGGAUUCAUUGAUCCUAAGGCCUUGGCCUGAUCCAAUUCCCAUGAAAGUCCCUUGUUCUUGUGUGGGCUGUUCAUGGCCGAGAUCACUAUGAUCUGAGCCGAUUCUUUUGAAUCUGUUUAUGGGAAUAUUUUUCUUCUGAAUUAUCAUGAAUUAUC